rnacentral:misc_RNA from 1 species
AGAAGCUAAAGAACCAGGAUUUUUCAUGGAAAGAACAGUACAUGAUUCAGAUAACUCAGGAAUGCAAACAGGAAGUUCAAAUAAUGAAAUGACAAUGACAAUGUUAGAUCCUCGAUAGUAAUUGAUCUUUCCACGAUAAAGUGAAAUAUCAAUUAUUUUUUUAUGACGACAUUGAAGCGCUUGAGCAUCACCUCAGAAAAAA